rnacentral:sRNA from 1 species
GCUGCCGCUGCCGCCCAGGCUGGAAGCCCAGACACGGAAUCCCGAAUAACCAAAAGGACACUGUCUGUGAAGAUAUGACUUUCUCCACCUGGACCCCGCCCCCUGGAGUCCACAGCCAGACACUUUCCCGAUUCUUCGACAAAGUCCAGGACCUGGGCAGAGACUCCAAGACAAGCUCAGCCGAGGUCACCAUCCAGGUAAGGGCAGGACGCUGGGGGACCCCAGGACAGUGUAGAAUCAGCUAGCGGAGGCUUCCGUGUGGCCAGAGAGAGUGCCCAACCCAAGCAGGGGCCUCUAGUCAGAGACACACAUGCGCAUAACAUACACACACCACAUACAGUAUGUGCACAAACAUACACACCUGGACACAUGAAGACACACGCAUGCACAUAC